CUGAAUGCCAUGCGGGCUAGAAUUGCCAAACACUAUUGGAUAAUUCUUAUACUUGACAUUUCUCUGGGCCAAUCGGAAUCUUAGCAUGCUUUCCUCUGGGCCAAUCAGAAUCUUAGCACUUCCUUCAGAAUCUUGAAGACAGCGCGGUCCUUUGGAUGAGACACACCUGGCUACCGCGCAAGUCUGAUGGACACUUUUAACGUGAAGGAACCAUCUUAUUUGAGGUAAGUCAACUUUUUUGGACCAAAAACGACUACUAUUUGUUUGCUUGAUUUAAUUAGCAUUAGCUACCGCUUAUAUUGUAUUUUUAGGAACGAGUCAACGCCGAGUAAUGCACAAACGUAGACCUUGCAUAAAGUUUGCCUAUGCUUCGAGCAAAAUGACUAAUGUUCGCUAACUUAGCAGGACGAUUGUUAGCUAGGCUUAUCGUUACACGGGUGUUCUGCCCGGAGUUCCGAGAUAUACGGCUACUACUCGAAUUCUGAACUAAUGUUACCCAGAGUAACUUAUUCAUUAUGGUGGCUGUGGUGCGCGCUUGCGCAGGCAGUCAUUCGUGGUGUGGGUAAAUGUGACUGUUUACACAAUAGCUGAUGCGAGAGUAAUGUUAAAGGAAAACCCACCCUUUUUCAAUAUUUUCCUAUGUUUUUACCUCAACUUAGACUAAUUAAUACAUACCUAUCUUUUUUUCAAUGCAUGCACUUAAUCUUUCUACAUCACGUUGUGAAUGUUUUAGGAUUUAGCCUAGCCCCAUACAUUCCUGGUGGCUGUAUACCUGGUAAACAGUAAUUUUUAACAACAUAGGGCUGUUUAGAUAAAACAAUCUGGCGAGCGUGUUGUCCUAGGAUAAUACACCAACAGCCAAUUUCUGUAUAAUAAAGGGCUACAUUUUGCAUCAAAGGCUGUCAAUGAAAUCUUUACAUUGUAUUGUUAGUUGAAUUUACAUUAUGAACACUAGCACUUUGAGAUUGUUUAUUCAAUGUAAGGAGCCCUACAUAUAAAAUGCAUUAUUAUUAUAAUUAUUGAACAGAAAUGUAUUUUGAUAUUCACUGCAUAUCAGCCAAACAGUAUGGAGACACGUUGUUUUAUCAUAUUAGUCCUAUGUAUGAUAGUUUGCAAGGUUAUAUUUUAAUGAUUUUAAUUUACUUUCAGGCAAUGGUUCUGGGCACUUUGGUGGAGCACUCACUGCCAUUCACAAUGGCCCGUCAACGUCAACCUUGCGCAGACGCCGGCUGAGGACAAAGUGGCUCUGUCGCACGAAGCUUUCACGAACAUCAGCAAAAUAUAUUUUUUUCAUUUCUGUCUGUCUCUUGUUGUUUUUUAUUUCAGUGUCAUGCUUCACAACACCUCCAGGCGUUUCCGUGAGUUGUAAAUAAAAACAUUUGUAAAAUAUUAAAUGUGUCAUUCUCUUUAAGCUUCAAGGAUGUUUUAACAUUGUUUUUUGAUUAAAGUAUGCUGAUUUUUGUUAAGUCACGCUCAGAAUCAUAUUAAAAUCACAAAAAUAUAGAGCUGGGGUAACCCUUACACAAACACCCCAACCCCCAAUCCCACCCCCGUGCGUGCGACACUGUCACCUUUUUUACUCUGAGGAGUUUGCAGGUCUGUUACAUUCUUUUACAGAUAUUUCACCCACUAUUCAAGCUUAUGCAAGGUAAGUUGGCAAUACUUUAUUACAGCACACCUCACAGAUAUAUAGCAAUAAGUAUGCAUUCACAAGUGCAUCGUUUGUUUACUGUAGGUGCCAAAGCAUGAGGUGGUUAUGUAAAAAAGCUUUCAGUCAAACCGAAGACUACUGUACAGCUAUUAAUACACUUAAGUGCAUCCAACUCUAAUCAUCACUUGAUUGUGUUACAUUUUAUUUUCUUUGUUUUAGAUAAAAAAUGAUUUCAGAAGAAUCACCACAAUUUCCUUGGAGCGUACAUUCUUGUAAAAGCUGGACUUCUAUACCCCAAAACUCCUGGCUUUGUUUGAGAUGAAGGGUGGGGUUGCUGGCAUAAGAAUUAAGCAUUUGCUGGAUUCACUCAGCUAGCAAGAAGAUAGCCUUGAAGAUAGGUGAGAAGUUGUGAUUCGCUGCCUCCUAUCUUUCCUGGGAGAAUCAACUAAGGAGCUCAUUGAAGACCACCAGGAUAUCAGCAGAGACAUGAUUAAGGAUACCUUAUUCAGUCAUGUCUUUAAAAUCAUCGUACUGAGCAGAUCUGUGGAAGAAGAUGCCGGUAUGUCUGAUGUCAUCAUUGUCAUUGAGGGAACUGAGGUGCUGCUGGGAUGUAAGAAUCUCACAAAUGCAUGUCUUUCACUCACAGGCUGCAUUUACUCCCUAAACUUAAGCUGUCCCCCAAAGCUGAGAAACACAUUUGAAGUGUUUCAGAAAAUUUUUCUUGGGUUACCCCGGAUUUCCACCGACUGCGGAGCAGCUGCAGAUCAGCUCCGCUGCGUUACGUCUCCGCACUCUGCCGUCCGCCAAUACCCACCAGUUCCGUUUUUGUUGCAGAGCGGCUGCGUGCUGAAGUGACGAGGUCUCGCAAAUUCACGUGAUGAUCGCGCGAUACCUAGUUCUGUCUCUGCCCAUUAUGCCGUUGAAUUAUGACGUUUUUACAAACCAGCCCAGAUCACAACACGAGAUCUCGCAUAGACAGAGCAGUACAUCAAAUACAUCCAAAAUUCAAAAAAUAAGAAGGCUGCUAAAACAUUUAUAUAUGCUUUAUCUUUAAUGUAUUUAUUUGAAACUCCCCUGGCUCUGUUCCUGUCUAUUAUUUGUUGUUUCUGUAUUUAUGACUUUAUUUGUGUGUGUUUGUAAUGUUUGUAUUGCAAAGAUUUAAUAAAAAAACACGAGUUCUCGUGAAUUCAGGUAUGAUCACGCGAUAAAGUCAUGGCUCCGCCCUGCGGAGCUGUCCGGCAUCCGUCAAAAAUAGAAGCUCUGCGUAUUUGUGCCGGAGGGCUGCGGAUGGCCGGAGCUGUGACGGAUUCGGAGCGCAGUCAGUGGAAAUACACACAUUGACUUGAAUGGAAACCGAUUGACUCCGCCGCCGUUCCGCAACGGAUCCGCAGCCGUUCCGCAGUCGGUGGAAAUCCGGGGUUAGAUGCUUUUUAAAUUUUCUCCAAAGGUUAACUCUGCAUAGAAAGCUUCUAAUGUAAUCUGCUAGUUGGGCACUACUUGCACUUAUUGUACUGUUUUUUUUUUUUUUUUUUGAUUGUUUUGUUUUAUGCAAGAAAUGUUGUUCACAAAACAACUUCAACUACAGUACUAUUUAACAUAGCCAUUCUUAUGCAUUUUAAGUAAUACUAUUCUGCUGAAGAAUAAUUAUUUUAUUUGAUGUCUUUUUUCACUUAAUCUAAUUGAAAUUAAAAUAAGCUAAUGAAAGGCAGCUACUAGUUUGACUAUUUGCACAUUUGUUUUUGAUAUCUGCAACUGACAUUGUUGUAAUGUUUAUGUUUAAAUGUUUAUGCAUUUUAAUGGACUGUGUGGUUUACUGGAGUAAAUUCACUAUAGUGAACCAUAAAACUGAUGGAGUUUUACUAUUUGUUUUAUUUCAUGUUCCCAUCUUUAAGGAAUCUUAUAGAAAUAAAAGUAUUCAAGUAAAAUGUA